rnacentral:rRNA from 1 species
CAGCCGCCGCGGUAAUACGAAGGGGGUUAGCGUUGCUCGGAUUUACUGGGCGUAAAGGGCGCGUAGGCGGACAGUUAAGUUGGGGGUGAAAGCCCGGGGCUCAACCUCGGAAUUGCCUUCAAUACUGGCUGUCUUGAGUGUGAGAGAGGUGUGUGGAACUCCGAGUGUAGAGGUGAAAUUCGUAGAUAUUCGGAAGAACACCAGUGGCGAAGGCGACACACUGGCUCACUACUGACGCUGAGGCGCGAAAGCGUGGGGAGCAAACAGGAUUAGAUACCCCCGUAGUCCCUGUCUCUUAUAC